rnacentral:tmRNA from 1 species
GGGGCUUAAAGGAUUUGACAGCGAAAUGAAAGUAUUGAUAUAAGCAUGUAGGUUUGGCACCAAACCUUAUAAAUGAUGCAAAAAAUAACUGGCAACAAUAAAGUUUCCGAAAAAGUAUUCAAAAACCUGAAAGCAUUUGAAGGUAAACGAGUACUUGAAAUUGAAGAAAUGGCUAUUGCAGCUUGAUGUUGAGAUUACUCCAUUAUACAAUAGUUUUUCAAAAGAUAGGUGAAGUAUAGUAACUAAAUCUUACAUUUCUCAAUUCAGAGAUGAGUGAACAGAUAUUGAUACUCUGAAUUCAAAUAUUGAACUACACUAAAGUUUCGUCGUUAAGACGAAAAAUCUAUUCUGUUGGUUUAACUUCAAACCUAAUGUUAAAGAGUUGCUUAUGUUUUGGUUGGAAUCUUACUUGGACAUAAUAAGACAAAAUGAUUCUAAACAUGUAGAAAAUUGAUGUCUGCUUCGUUUGAACGAGGGUUCGAUGCCCUCAAGCUCCACAA